rnacentral:rRNA from 1 species
GGACGUUCAAGGUGGGCGAUCCGUCGCCGGAAUAGUUAAGCACGGGAUAACGGAACAGGGCUUCGACUCGAGUUCGUUGUUUUCUCGGGUGGGAGUACAUGAUUGAUAGGGACGGUCGGGGCCGCUCGCAUCGCGUCGUCAGAGGUGAAAUUUUAGGAUUGACGCGAGACGAACAGGUGCGAAAGCGUUCGGCAAGGAUGUUUUCGUUAAUCAAGAACGAAAGUUGGGGGAUCGAAGAUGAUCAGAUACCGUUGUAGUUUUGACCGUAAACUAUGCCGACCAAGGGCCCGGAAACGUUAUUUUGUAGGACUUUGCGGGCACUUUUCGAGAAAUCGUGAGUAUUCGGGUUCCGGGGGGAGUACGGUCGCAAGGCCGAAACUUAAAGGAAUUGACGGAAGGGCACCACCAGGAGUGGAACCUGCGGCUUAAUUUGACUCAACGCGGGAAAACUCACCAGGUCCGGACACGGUAAGGAUUGACAGAUUGACGGAUCUUUCUUGAUUCCGUGGAAAGUGGUGCAUGGCCGUUUUUAGUUGGUGGAUCGGUCCGUCUGGUUUAUUCCGUUAACGAACGAGACCUCAACCUGUCAAGUAGCUUGGCGAACCAAUGGGUCAAAGCCUCGGGUUUCCCGAGGUUCCAUUGCGGUUCGUCAUUACCUAGCCCCCCCCCGCCCUCCGAGGCCUCGGCACUCCGAAUAGCACGGCGGACGCCGCGGCCUCCGGGCCGUCUUCCGCGCGAGCUUCUUAGAGGGACCGUCCCCCGCCGGGGAAGGAGGUUCGAGGCAACGACAGGUCUGUGAUGCCCUUAGAUGUUCUGGGCCGCACGCGCAUUACACUGACGCGUCCAACGGGCGACUCCCGGCCCGAAGGGGUCGGGGAAUCCGCAAGGCGCGUCGUGAUGGGGAUUGAACGUUGCAAUUGUUGUUCACGAACGAGGAAUUCCUAGUAGGCGCGGGUCAUCAACCCGCGCCGAUUACGUCCCUGCCCUUUGUACACACCGCCCGUCGCUCCUACCGAUCGAACGGUCCGGUGAGGACCCAGGACGGCGCGGGACCCGAGGGGCCGAAAGGCUCCGCGACCCGUGUCGGAAUCCGUCCGAACCUUACCGUUUAGAGGAAGGAGAAGUCGUAACAAGGUCUCCGUAGGUGA